CUCUUUUCCUUAAUUCCUCCGUUUCUCUUCCUCGCGCACCCGAGCCCUUUCUUCCCCGUGCCCUCACCCGCGCCUCUCUUCUCCCUCAUUCCCGAACCCGACACCAAAAGGAGCCCUAACCGCCGGCUGUAGCGGUUCCUCCUUUCAUCUUCUCCUCUUCUCGGUGAAGCCGAGCCUUUCCUCCCGACGCCACCCCAUGCCCUAGCCUCUCCUCCCUCACGCGCGCCACUGACGUUCCGACGCCGAGACACCGCCGGCCACAGGAACUCCAGUUGCCUGAGCCCUAGCCGGUGCCACCAUAGUCCUCUUCCUCUACAGACUUGGUGUCUCUAUGCCCUAGCGUCGGGCCGGUCUUCUUCUCCCUGUUGCCGGUGCCCUGGCCUCAGCCGCGACACCCAUCUCUACGACGACAUCCGAGCACAGCCGGCCCUAUCUAUGCCUUAGCGCAGACACACUUCUCUUGAGGGUGCCCUAGUGUGGAAUCUAAGCCCUAGUUCUUCCGCUUGCUGCCACUGCCGAGCAAAAUUGCUUCUUCCCUCUAUUUUUCAGCGAUCACCUCUGUGCCGGCCACCAAACUUGUCACUGCUCUUGAUCAGUCCACGCAUCAUUUGAUCUCCGACAGUAGAUAGAUUCCAGCAGCAAACGAUCCUACUUCCAACAGUGAUAAACGGCUGUGAGUUUCAGGAUCUUGACGCGAGACGAGUAUCUCGGAGUCAGAUUUGGACCAC